rnacentral:rRNA from 1 species
UGCAGAGGGGGCAAGCGUUGUUCGGAAUUACUGGGCGUAAAGGGCGCGUAGGCGGCCUUCCAAGUCGAACGUGAAAUCCCCGGGCUCAACCCGGGAACUGCGUCCGAUACUGGAAGGCUUGAAUCCGGGAGAGGGAUGCGGAAUUCCAGGUGUAGCGGUGAAAUGCGUAGAUAUCUGGAGGAACACCGGUGGCGAAGGCGGCGUUCUGGACUGCUACUGACACUGAGAGACGAAAGCCAGGGGAGCAAACGGG